CUACGGGUUGCACCAGUGGGGAAUAUUGCACAAUGGAGGAAACUCUGAUGCAGCAACGCCGCGUGGAGGAUGACACUUUUCGGAGCGUAAACUCCUUUUAUAUAGGAAGAAGAUGACGGUACUAUAUGAAUAAGCGCCGGCUAACUCCGUGCCAGCAGCCGCGGUAAUACGGAGGGCGCAAGCGUUACUCGGAAUCACUGGGCGUAAAGAGCGUGUAGGCGGAUUAAAAAGUCAGAAGUGAAAUCCUAUAGCUUAACUAUAGAACUGCUUCUGAAACUCUUAAUCUAGAAUAUGGGAGAGGUAGAUGGAAUUGCUGGUGUAGGGGUAAAAUCCGUAGAGAUCAGAAGGAAUACCGAUUGCGAAGGCGAUCUACUAGAACAUUAUUGACGCUGAGACGCGAAAGCGUGGGGAGCAAACAGGAUUAGAUACCCGGUAGUC
rnacentral:rRNA from 1 species